GGACUUGCUCUCUCGGUCGGUUCGGAGAUACGGGCUCGGAGCAUAACAGUUAACCCUUAUACCUAGCUCUGCCUACUACACAAGGAAAAUAGAGGCUGUUCAACACGUUUAAAACAAAAAAAAGGAGAAAGUCAGCCCUGCUUUUUGACUACCAAGUGAUCCUAGCCAACGAUGAUUUUGUGUUAUAAAUAUGGAGGAUGCCUUCCUUCAGGGACCUUCCAUGGCUUGUAUCUGGUGGAAGUGUAGAGUUCACAGCACAGUCUUUCUCUCUCACUCUCUAAUUUUUUUUAGGAAGAACCUUUCAUAUUAUCAUUCUUAUGCUGGGAUGGGGACCUACCAGUUAUCACAGCUUGAGUGUGGGGAGAGGGGAGGAGUGGUCUGGUUCAGUUCCCACAAAACAUUUCCUAGGGACUUGUUACUUGUGGUGAAUGCUAUGUUCCCUGCAAAAGAUUCAGAGAGAAAUAAAACAAAGCUCUCCUGUCUCGGUGCUAUCUUGUCAGGGGUGCUCUCCCCUGAGGGAGGGAAAAGGGUGAGGCUGGCUGUGGAUGGUCACAUUUCUUCUCUAGGAGACCACUUAACCACAACAAAAACCAGGCAGCUUUCACCAGAUAAUUCAAGAAGGAGGAUUUAUUUUAGAAGGGAUUUCCCAGAGUCCUGCUGACCUCUGAGCCAGGCAGCUCUCUUGCGUUCCUGUUAAAGGCUCUGCCCCUGUGGCUCCAGGUGCCCCCUCGGAGGCAGGAGAGUCAGGAAUAGGAGGAAGAGGGGACCUCACCGGGCAAGGGGGACCGCACUUGCUGGCUGUUCCCCUUCUCACUCGCUGCCCAGGGUAUUUUUAUCAGAAGAAACGGUGAGCUUCACUUCUCUUACUUCGCCUAAAGACUCCCCCGUCUCAAACCGAUUCCUCCUAGCUCGGAUUCCUCCAUUUGCAGAAAUGCUCAGACACGUCUGCGUCUGUUGCGUCCAGGGGGCUCUCUCCCUAGUCACCAGUGAUGAUGAGGUGAUGAUGGGGAGUGGUGGCUGCCAGGUUAAGGCAGAAGAGAUUAUCUUUAGACGGCAGAUUCUGGUGGAGCUCUCGCUUCACAAAUGUUUUAGCAGUUGUUCUUGAAGGGAGAAUGCAUGUCAUGAAAUUCAGAGGAUAGCUUCAAAAGUUCUUGAGUAUAUUAUGAGAGGAGAACAUGAAA
rnacentral:lncRNA from 1 species